ACAAUUCGGGUCGGAGAUUUUAUGGCUGUCCAAGAUAUAGGGUAAAGCUGGCUACUAUAAACUUGUUGAUUCAUAUAUGGACAUUAUUUGAUGUGUAAUUUAUAUUAUCUUUCAGAUGCAGGAGAGUAACGCAUGUAAUUAUUUUGGUUAGUACGACCCACAAUUUACGAGCCGGAGUGUCUCAGUGGUUAAUGGUUUACUAGAAAGCAAUAAUAAGUUGCGGGAAGAAGCCGAAGUUGCAACAAAGAGAAAAAG
rnacentral:lncRNA from 1 species